rnacentral:rRNA from 1 species
CCUACGGGAGGCAGCAGUGAGGAAUAUUGGUCAAUGGACGAGAGUCUGAACCAGCCAAGUAGCGUGAAGGAUGACUGCCCUAUGGGUUGUAAACUUCUUUUAUAAAGGAAUAAAACGAGGCACGUGUGCCUUUUUGCAUGUACUUUAUGAAUAAGGAUCGGCUAACUCCGUGCCAGCAGCCGCGGUAAUACGGAGGAUCCGAGCGUUAUCCUGAUUUAGUGGGUUUAAAGGGAGCGUAGAUUGGUUGUUAAGUCAGGUGUGAAAGUUUGCGGCUCAACCGUAAAAUUGCAAUUGAUACUGUCAGUCUUGAGUACAGUUGAGGUAGGCGGAAUUCGUGGGGUAGCGGUGAAAUGCUUAGAUAUCACGAAGAACCCCGAUUGCGAAGGCAGCUUACUAAACUGUGACUGACAUUGAUGCUCGAAAGUGUGGGUAUCAAACAGGAGUAGAUACCCGAGUAGUC